GCCGACGUGGCGGAAUUGGCAGACGCGCUGGACUCAAAAUCCAGUGGCCUCGCGGCCGUGUGGGUUCGACCCCCUCCGUCGGCACCA
rnacentral:tRNA from 1 species